rnacentral:rRNA from 1 species
AUUGAACGCUGGCGGCAGGCCUAACACAUGCAAGUCGAACGAGUGGCGGACGGGUGAGUAAUGUCUGGGAAACUGCCUGCUGGAGGGGGAUAACUACUGGAACCGGUAGCUAAUACCGCAUACCAUCGGAUGUGCCCCGAUGGGAUUAGCUUGGAGGUGGGGUAACGGCGCACCUAGGCGACGAUCCCUAGCCGGUCGGAGAGGAUGGCCAGCCACACGGGAACGGAGACACGGUCACGAGGCCUACGAGAGGCAGCAGUGGGGAAUAUGGCGCAAUGGGGGCAAGCCUGAUGCAGCGAGGCCGCGUGUAUGAAGAAGGCCUUGGGGUUGUAAAGUACUUUCAGCGGGGAGGCGUUACCCGCAGAAGAAGCACCGGCUAACUCCGUGCCAGCAGCCGCGGUAAUAC